UCAGAGGGCUGGAUCCAAGGCCCAUUGAAGUCAAUGGGAGUCUUUCCAUUGCCUUCAAUAGGCUCUGGAUCAGGCCCUUGAAGA
rnacentral:pre_miRNA from 1 species